rnacentral:rRNA from 1 species
CCCCUAGAUGUUCUGGGCCGCACGCGCGCUACACUGAACAGUUCAACAAGUCUUAACCUUGGCCGAUAGGUCUGGGUAAUCUUUGAACGCUGUUCGUGAUUGGGAUAGACCUUUGCAAUUAUGGGUCUUCAACGAGGAAUUCCUAGUAAACGCAAGACAUCAGCUUGCAUUGAUUACGUCCCUGCCCUUUGUACACACCGCCCGUCGCACCUACCGAUUGAAUGGUCCGGUGAAAUCUCGGGACGGCGGCUUGGUCGCUUGCGUCCGACUGCUGAAACUUGAUUAAACCAUAUCAUUUAGAGGAAGGUGAAGUCGUANCA